CCAGACUCCUACGGGAGGCAGCAGUGAGGAAUAUUGGUCAAUGGGAGAGAUCCUGAACCAGCCAAGCCGCGUGAGGGAAGACGGCCCUAUGGAUUGUAAACCUCUUUUGUCAGGGAGCAAAGGGCGCCACGUGUGGCGCUUUGCGAGUACCUGAAGAAAAAGCAUCGGCUAACUCCGUGCCAGCAGCCGCGGUAAUACGGAGGAUGCGAGCGUUAUCCGGAUUUAUUGGGUUUAAAGGGUGCGUAGGCGGACGCUUAAGUCAGCGGUAAAAUUGCGGGGCUCACCCUCGUCGAGCCGUUGAAACUGGGUGCCUUGAGUGGGCGAGAAGUACGCGGAAUGCGUGGUGUAGCGGUGAAAUGCAUAGAUAUCACGCAGAACUCCGAUUGCGAAGGCAGCGUACCGGCGCCCAACUGACGCUGAAGCACGAAGGCGUGGGUAUCGAGCAGGAUUAGAUACCCCGGUAGC
rnacentral:rRNA from 1 species